rnacentral:piRNA from 1 species
GACUUGAGAUGACGGCUAGCUUUG